rnacentral:rRNA from 1 species
GAUGAACGCUAGCGGCAGGCCUAAUACAUGCAAGUCAAGGGGAUAGCAAUAUCACCGGCGGACGGGUGCGUAACGCGUACACAACGUGCCCAAGGGCGGAGGAAAGCGGCGGGAAACUGCCGGUAAUACUCCAUGGUGUUGUUGAGUGGCAUCACUUAACAACUAAAGUACAAGCGCCCUUGGAUCGGUGUGCGUUCGAUUAGCUAGUUGGCGGGGUAACGGCCCACCAAGGCUUCGAUCGAUAGGGGGGUGUGAGAGCAUGACCCCCCCACACGGGUACGUGAGACACGGACCCGACUCCUACGGGAGGCAGCAGUAAGGAAUAUUGGACAAUGGGCGGGAAGCCUGAUCCACGCCAUGCCGCGUGAAGGACGAAGGCGCUCAGCGUUGUAAACUU